GUCUUUAUAGCUUAUAAGGCUAAAGCACUAUGCUGAAGACGUAGAGAUAGGGGUUCGAGACCUCUUAAAGACA
rnacentral:tRNA from 1 species